rnacentral:rRNA from 1 species
AAAUUGAAGAGUUUGAUCAUGGCUCAGAUUGAACGCUGGCGGCAGGCCUAACACAUGCAAGUCGAACGGUAACAGGAAGCAGCUUGCUGCUUUGCUGACGAGUGGCGGACGGGUGAGUAAUGUCUGGGAAACUGCCUGAUGGAGGGGGAUAACUACUGGAAACGGUGGCUAAUACCGCAUAACGUCGCAAGACCAAAGAGGGGGACCUUCGGGCCUCUUGCCAUCAGAUGUGCCCAGAUGGGAUUAGCUUGUUGGUGAGGUAACGGCUCACCAAGGCGACGAUCCCUAGCUGGUCUGAGAGGAUGACCAGCCACACUGGAACUGAGACACGGUCCAGACUCCUACGGGAGGCAGCAGUGGGGAAUAUUGCACAAUGGGCGCAAGCCUGAUGCAGCCAUGCCGCGUGUAUGAAGAAGGCCUUCGGGUUGUAAAGUACUUUCAGCGGGGAGGAAGGUGUUGUGGUUAAUAACCGCAGCAAUUGACGUUACCCGCAGAAGAAGCACCGGCUAACUCCGUGCCAGCAGCCGCGGUAAUACGGAGGGUGCAAGCGUUAAUCGGAAUUACUGGGCGUAAAGCGCACGCAGGCGGUCUGUCAAGUCGGAUGUGAAAUCCCCGGGCUCAACCUGGGAACUGCAUUCGAAACUGGCAGGCUUGAGUCUUGUAGAGGGGGGUAGAAUUCCAGGUGUAGCGGUGAAAUGCGUAGAGAUCUGGAGGAAUACCGGUGGCGAAGGCGGCCCCCUGGACAAAGACUGACGCUCAGGUGCGAAAGCGUGGGGAGCAAACAGGAUUAGAUACCCUGGUAGUCCACGCCGUAAACGAUGUCUACUUGGAGGUUGUGCCCUUGAGGCGUGGCUUCCGGAGCUAACGCGUUAAGUAGACCGCCUGGGGAGUACGGCCGCAAGGUUAAAACUCAAAUGAAUUGACGGGGGCCCGCACAAGCGGUGGAGCAUGUGGUUUAAUUCGAUGCAACGCGAAGAACCUUACCUGGUCUUGACAUCCACAGAACUUUCCAGAGAUGGAUUGGUGCCUUCGGGAACUGUGAGACAGGUGCU